rnacentral:rRNA from 1 species
GACGAACGCUGGCGGCGUGCUUAACACAUGCAAGUCGAACGAAGUGGCGAACGGGUGAGUAAUAUGUGAGUAACCUGCCCUCCUUUGUGGGAUAAGCCUUGGAAACGGGGUCUAAUACCUAAUAAAGGGGGAUGGGCUCGUGGCCUUUCAGCUUGUUGGUGGGGUGAUGGCCUACCAAGGCGGGGACGGGUAGCCGGCCUGCGGGGGUGACAGGCAACAUUGGGACGAAAGUACGGCCCAGACUGCUCCGGGAGGCAGCGGUGGGGGAUAUUACACAAUGGGCGAAAGCAUGGUGCAGGGACGUCGCGUGGGGGAUGAAGGCUUUAAGGUUGUAAGCCUCAUUCGCUAUCGAGCGGGUAGGUGGAGAAGAAGCACCGGCUAACUACGUGCCAGCAGCCGCAGUAAUUC